AUGGGGAUUAGGGCAAUAACAACAAACUAUGUAAAUGCCCAUUCCCCUAAUACAUCUAUUAAAAAAGGAGGAUGGAGCAAACCUCCUGUGGGACUUGUUAAGCUGAAUGUUGAUGCUUCGUUUGAUCAUGAUCGGCUUAGUGGUACAGCUAGGGCUGUUCUCAGAGAUGAUAAAGGAAGAUUUAUUGCUGGCGGAAACUGGAAGUUUGACUGGUGUGCGGAUGUUCUGACAGCGGAAAUUUUGGCCCUAAGGUUUGGUUUAUUACUUGCACAGAGGGCGGGAUGUAAUCGCCUUCAUGUCAACUCAGACAAUAUUGAAGUCAUCAACACAAUGAAGAAUGGAGGACAAUCAGCGGGAGCGGCGGCGGCGGUUUUUGAUGAUUGCUAUUUUUUGGCAUGUGAUUUUCCUCUUACUAGGUUUGAACAUUGUAAUAGAGAGGCAAAUAAGGUAGCUCAUGAACUAGCCAAAUUAGCAAAAAAUUUCGUGACAAAUGACUAUUUUGAGGAGCCCAUGGAUGAAAUUGUACCUCUUUUUAUAGACGAUGUAACUGUUAUUUGCAAUUAA
rnacentral:rRNA from 1 species